GGGAGAAAAAAUGAUCUCAGAGGAGUCUUGGGACAGUGGAUGAGUUUCUUUGUCAUUUUUGCUACAUAGCAGAAACAUGAUCUGAUGGAUGGAUGUGCCAUCAAUCCAGUCUAUACUUUUUUUCCUCUGAGAUGAAGAACUGGACUGAGAGCAGAAGAUACUGUAGAGAGAGAGGAGCAUCUGAUCAUCAUCAACAACAGAGGGGAAGAAGACUUUGUUAGGAGCGUGUCUGUUUUGGACAGCAGUCUGGAUUGGUUUUGAGUGACAGUGAUGAAGAGGGCAGAUGGAAAUGGG